rnacentral:rRNA from 1 species
UACGAAGGGGGGCUAGCGUUGCUCGGAAUGACUGGGCGUAAAGGGCGCGUAGGCGGAUUGCUUUGUCGGGCGUGAAAUUCCAGGGCUUAACCUUGGGGCUGCGUUCGAGACGGGUGAUCUUGAGUGGGGAAGAGGGUCGUGGAAUUCCCAGUGUAGAGGUGAAAUUCGUAGAUAUUGGGAAGAACACCGGUGGCGAAGGCGGCGACCUGGUCCUUUACUGACGCUGAGGCGCGAAAGCGUGGGGAGCAAACAGG